rnacentral:piRNA from 1 species
UCAUUUUCAGCAUAACAAUAAUGUCGGCCU